rnacentral:rRNA from 1 species
AACGAACGCUGGCGGCAUGCCUAACACAUGCAAGUCGAACGAGACCUUCGGGUCUAGUGGCGCACGGGUGCGUAACGCGUGGGAACCUGCCCUUAGGUUCGGAAUAACUCCCCGAAAGGGGUGCUAAUACCGGAUAAUGUCUUCGGACCAAAGAUUUAUCGCCUUUGGAUGGGCCCGCGUUGGAUUAGCUAGUUGGUAGGGUAAAAGCCUACCAAGGCGACGAUCCAUAGCUGGUCUGAGAGGAUGAUCAGCCACACUGGGACUGAGACACGGCCCAGACUCCUAGGGGAGGAGGGAGGGGGGAAUAUUGGAAAAGGGGGAAAGGCCUGACCCAGCAAUGCCGGGUGAGUAAUGAGGGCUUUGGGGUUAAAAAGCUUUUUAACCCGGAAUGAUAAGGACAGUAGGGGGAAAAUAAGCUCCGGCUACCCCCGUG